UACAGGAGGUCUCAAGCGUUGUUCGGAAUUACUGGGCGUAAAAGGGCGCGUAGGCGGCCUGCUAAGUCGGAUGUGAAAUCCCUCCGGCUCAACCGAGAACUGCAUCCGAUACUGGCGGGCUUGAAUCCGGGAGAGGGAUGUGGAAUUCCAGGUGUAGCGGUGAAAUGCGUAGAUAUCUGGAGGAACACCGGUGGCGAAGGCGGCGAUCCUGGGACCGACACUGACGCUGAGGAGCGAAAGCCAGGG
rnacentral:rRNA from 1 species